UACGUAGGGUGCAAGCGUUAAUCGGAAUUACUGGGCGUAAAGCGUGCGCAGGCGGUUUUGUAAGUCAGAUGUGAAAUCCCCGGGCUUAACCUGGGAACUGCGUUUGAAACUACAAGGCUAGAGUGUGGCAGAGGGGGGUGGAAUUCCACGUGUAGCAGGUGAAAUGCGUAGAGAUGUGGAGGAACACCGAUGGCGAAGGCAGCCCCUGGGUUAACACUGACGCUCAGGCACGAAAGCGUGGGGAGC
rnacentral:rRNA from 1 species